UCCGUAGGGUGACCUGCGGAGGGAUCAUUACAAGUGACCCCGGUCUAACCACCGGGAUGUUCAUAACCCUUUGUUGUCCGACUCUGUUGCCUCCGGGGCGACCCUGCCUUCGGGCGGGGGCUCCGGGUGGACACUUCAAACUCUUGCGUAACUUUGCAGUCUGAGUAAACUUAAUUAAUAAAUUAAAACUUUUAACAACGGAUCUCUUGGUUCUGGCAUCGAUGAAGAACGCAGCGAAAUGCGAUAAGUAAUGUGAAUUGCAGAAUUCAGUGAAUCAUCGAAUCUUUGAACGCACAUUGCGCCCCCUGGUAUUCCGGGGGGCAUGCCUGUUCGAGCGUCAUUUCACCACUCAAGCCUCGCUUGGUAUUGGGCAACGCGGUCCGCCGCGUGCCUCAAAUCGACCGGCUGGGUCUUCUGUCCCCUAAGCGUUGUGGAAACUAUUCGCUAAAGGGUGCUCGGGAGGCUACGCCGUAAAACAAACCCAUUUCUAAGGUUGACCUCGGAUCAGGUAGGGAUACCCGCUGAACUUAAGCAUAUCAAUAAGCGGAGGAA
rnacentral:rRNA from 1 species